AGUGUAGUAUCUGUUCUUAACAGUUUAAUAUCUAACACGUCCUCUAUAUGAGGACUACAUAUUAAAUAGAUUUUUAGAACAGGGAGACGGAAGACGGGCUUGCUCCAAAAUGGAAAGCAGGUUAAGCGUGAAAAAAAACAUGCAUCACAGUCUUGAG
rnacentral:snRNA from 1 species